AGCUUUGCGCAGUGGCAGUAUCGUAGCCAAUGAGGUUUAUCCGAGGCGCGAUUAUUGCUAAUUGAAAACAGGUAGGUUUUAGAUUCAUUCACUUGGAAAGAAUGUUUACUUAGGAGAUACUAUGUAUAACUAAUCAGAGU